UACGGGGGAUGCAAGCGUUAUCCGGAAUCAUUGGGCGUAAAGCGCCUGUAGGUUGUUUAAUAAGUCUGUUGUUAAAGACUAGGGCUCAACCCUAGGAAAGCAAUGGAAACUACUAGACUAGAGUAUGGCAGGGGUAGAGGGAAUUUCUAGUGUAGCGGUGAAAUGCGUAGAUAUUAGAAAGAACACCGGUGGCGAAAGCGCUCUACUGGACCAUUACUGACACUCAGAGGCGAAAGCUAGGGUAGCAAAAGGGAUUAGAUACCCCUGUAGUCCUAGCCGUAAACGAUGGAUACUAGAUGUUGUAUGUUUUUACAGUGUCUUAGCUAACGCGUUAAGUAUCCCGCCUGGGGAGUACGCUCGCAAGGGUG
rnacentral:rRNA from 1 species